rnacentral:lncRNA from 1 species
GCAUGGGAAGGAUGAUCCGAAUGAAAUUAUGCACGAAGAUGAUGAUACUGAAGAUGAUAGUGAUGUUGCUGAACCUGUCGAACAUGAUGGUAUAGGAGAACUAUUGGAUGAUUUAUAUUAGGGUAUUUAUUCAAAUAUACGCAUGAGUAUUAGUGCAUUUAAAGGCAAUUCUGAUAAUGAACACAAUAUCUGGCUUGAGGUAGAAGGGA